AAAAAUGAGGGGUAUGGUGUGGCGUGGCCAGCCAUGUAAUUUUUUUUAAUUAAAGUAGCCAACCAAAGCCAGCUAUAUUAAACCAACCAAAGCCAACUAAGUCACCAUGUCCCCCGCCCCACGCCAGGCUGAAUACCCACGUCACAGGGGCACCGCCCUAACCAACGCCAACCCGAAGUGGAGCAGCUGGCGUUCAAGGGCAUCCCCGCCCAUCCAACGUCCCCACCCCCCGCAGUCUAAAGAGACUGCAUCUAGAAAGCACUUUAAAAUUUAGCGAUCAAAUUAUAAGGAUUUUAAACUUUUUGAGAAUGUGAAAUUUAAAAUUUAGCGAUCAAAUUAUAAGGAUUUUAAAUAUUUUGAGAAUGUGAAAUUUUAUGUUAAAAUAACUCCCUCCCAAUUUAAUUCCCGCUCCUUCCUAUUCCUCCUAAAUUUAAAUUAACUUCCCCCCAAAUCUGCUCAGUUAUCACAAACCCUAUCAAUCUUCAUUAUUUGCCCUCCAUGCCUUCAGCGAUUGCAGGAUGAUGAUUUCUUUGAAGCCAACACUACGAGAGUGGCAGGAACAUCAAACAAACCUUAUCAGCAUACUACCCCGUCGCAUUGCCCUUCACAACCAUCAUCAAUGCCGGAAAACCGAUCCAACUUCGUGUUCAGCAUCUCUGCCGGUUACCGUGGAGCAACAUAUCGAGUUGAAUCUGAGCACUGAGUCAGAUUGAUUUACGGAAUUCAAAAUUUCUAAUCGGAUGGUGGAGACGAUCACGGUGGUACACGGGAGAUCUUUGGUGGCAAGGAAAAGAGGCGGCGCAGAUUGAAGAGUUGUAGUAAAAGAAAAUGCAGACAAAGCAGAGAAAUAGUGUGCAUCUUUUGGAGUGUGAGUAGCAUUACUAUUGUUGUGAUUCACUUUUAGGCUCAACGUUUACUUGACAUUCAUCUUUAUCAGGAGUGCAGACGAGCCAAGCCAAGCCUGAGCUUGAUUAGGCUUGAGCUCGGCUGUUGGAUAGCUUUUCAAGCUUCAGCGUGGCUCGGACCUGCCAAUAUUAUUAUUACUAAAGAGUUUAUAAUAAUUAUUAUUGUUUUCUAUUAUUUUUUUCUUUUUUGACUCAAUAAACGCAAUUAUUCUGACCCGUUUUAAUUGACUUGUUUUUGCCAAACCCACCCCCCCCCAAUGACAAAUAUCGGAUCUGCCUGUUGGAUAUGAAUUUGGGAUCCUUCACUUGUUUAGUUUGAAACUGGGAUCCCUCACAGAAUUCUUGUUGCUUGAGAAGGAAAAGAUUGAAAUGAUAGAUACAUGGGUGAGUUAGAUUUUGAUUAUUAUAGAGGACUUUUCCUUGGACACUGACCAAUUGCAACCAGCAACCAGGUUCAUGAGAAUGCGGUUAUAUGGUGAUCAAACAUAUACGGGAGUUUGUUGAGAGAAUUCAACAUUACUUUAUUAAUAUCUUAUGGAAUGCAAAAGAGAAGACCACGCAUGAGAAAAUUGAAAUUAUGAUCGUCCACUUAAUGGAGCAUUGGAUUAAGGUGUUCGGUGUUUGAGGGCCAGAUAUGAACUUCGUAAAUGCGUUUCAAGGCAAUUUCUAAGGUUUUCCAUUGCAAGUAUGAAUUAAAGACGUUGGGGUUGGGUUGCAAGUAUGAAGACAUCAGUUCAGGGAGUCAUUGUAUAUCGUAUUCAUCUUUAGAGAUAUAUGUAUUUGUGUUACUUUAAAACUUUUUUAAUUUUGUGUUACUUUGAAACCUUUGUAAUUUAUAUUGGUUUUAAUUUAGUUUUGUUUUUUGUAUAUAUUUUUUUUUUCAAUUUUGGAUAAUUUGAUUAUAAUGAGAAUUUAUUGGGAAUUUUUAA